rnacentral:rRNA from 1 species
AGUGAACGCUGGCGGUAGGCCUAACACAUGCAAGUCGAACGGCAGCACAGUAAGAGCUUGCUCUUACGGGUGGCGAGUGGCGGACGGGUGAGGAAUACAUCGGAAUCUACUUUUUCGUGGGGGAUAACGUAGGGAAACUUACGCUAAUACCGCAUACGACCUACGGGUGAAAGCAGGGAAUCUUCGGACCUUGCGCGAUUGAAGGAGCCGAUGUCGGAUUAGCUAGUUGGCGGGGUAAAGGCCCACCAAGGCGACGAUCCGUAGCUGUUCUGAGAGGAUGAUCAGCCACACUGGAACUGAGACACGGUCCAGACUCCUACGGGAGGCAGCAGUGGGGAAUAUUGGACAAUGGGCGCAAGCCUGAUCCAGCCAUACCGCGUGGGUGAAGAAGGCCUUCGGGUUGUAAAGCCCUUUUGUUGGGAAAGAAAAGCAGCAGGUUAAUACCCCGCUGUUCUGACGGUACCCAAAGAAUAAGCACCGGCUAACUUCGUG